rnacentral:rRNA from 1 species
GGCUCAGAUUGAACGCUGGCGGCAUGGCUAAAACAUGCAAGUCGAACGAUCCCUUCGGGGAGAGUGGCGAAAGGGCGAGGAAUAGCAUCGAAUGUACCCCAAGGUAAAGGAUAGCUUCUGGAAACGGAAGGUAAUACUUUAUGUGCUCUACGGAGUAAAGGUUUACCGCCUUGGGAGCAGCGAUUCUCCUAUCAGGUAGUUGGUGAGGUAACGGCUCACCAAGCCGAAGACGGGUAGCGGGUGUGAGAGCAUGACCCGCCGCAUCGGGACUGAGACACUGCCCGGACUCCUACGGGAGGCUGCAGUAACGAAUCUUCCGCAAUGGGCGAAAGCCUGA